UGUUUGUCCGCGUGGUACUCCCAGGGAUGGCUGUGCCCGUGUGGUAACCCACGAGGGCGCACCUGAACGUAUUCGAAGGCACAUCUCUUGCGCAAAGAAAGAUAGAAAAGCCGACGAUAGAAGGGAUAGGCCGAAGAAAAAGAAUGGGCGAAAGUAAAGAAAGGGCUGAGAGAGAGAGAGAGAGAGAGAUGAAAAGAGGGAUAGAAGGAAAGGACGGAACAAAGGAGGAAUCAUCGAUACACACAACGGUGACCACGAUCUGCCACGCUUGCGCCUUCUCGCUUGGAGAAAAAGUCCAGGCCUUUCCCUUCUUUCUUUCACACCCAACACUCUUCGUCGUCCAGUCGCGGAACUCAAGAGACCCCUGGGAGUCUACGUGGGAGAUGGACUCGAUGGGACCAAUCGUUUUUUCAACAGAUGUUUCGCAACGACGGAUCGCGUCACGGAGUAUAAAAACUUGAGGACAUCAUUAAGUCUCAUUAGGAGAGAGAUGUAGCGAAAACAAUCACUCGGCGCAAACUCGACAAUAUUCAAUUAUCGAUACAAAAGUUGAUAAAGCGAGAAGAGGAAGGUAAUGGACUAACUUAAUUCAUACCGUGAAAAAGGCAAGGGAUAUUUUGGUAUAAAAGAUUAUAUGUCACACACUUUGAUGAUGAAAGUUCAUGAUACUUAUCUCUUUUAUACACGCUAUGAAUGGGGCUACCGAGUCGCAUGAUCGAUUAUCGGCUGAUGGUUUACUACCCUCGUGAGAUCUCUCGUCCCUUUGACACAAUAUAGCGCGGAGACCAGAUGCUCCCUCGCGACAAGGGAAUUCAUGAUUCAUGGUCAAUUUAAAAGGAUAAGAGGACGUUAAUACAAAUCCACAGUCAAGAACUAGUUUGCACGCGAGUCAUAGCUUUUAAGUUUCUUUUUUUCCAUGUUUCCUUUUUCAAAGAAAAUGAUAACUAUUUUUAUAAAAGUCAAUCAAACAUAUUUGUAACUUACAAUAUACAUUUUUUAAUCGGGAGGUACACCAGAUUGUACUGUUAUAAGUCGAGUCGCUGAAAGAAAGUUAACAUGCGUGAAUUGCUGCGUUAAAAAAACAGAAGGGAAAAAAACGAUAUUGGCACCUCGGCACUACUAGCGAUGUGAAAAGAAACGAACGCGGCGUAUCUGCAUGAAAACAGGUGGAAGUCAAACGCAAUCCAAUUACGGGAUAAUCGCAUUGGCUUCGAGAUUCGCACUCGACAUUCGGGAGAACUAUUGAGUGAUUAAAAAUAAUACCCUACAACGCAGUCGGAAGUUCGCUCACGUAUACGCAAACGUGAAAACCCAUCCGUGAGUCACUUUACGUGAACUCUUUUC